GUAAACUGAAACUUUUUUGAACAAGCGUCCUCAGUUUCUUCAUUGAUUCGAUGAUUUAAACUGUUCCGAUCUUUUUAAUGGAUUACAAAUAUGGAUUUCAUUUCUUUUGAUGGAUAACGAGCAAGCUCCUCGGUACGACAGAGAAGAACCCGAAUCUCAGAAGGAGUGGAUAUAAUUAAAAGCCAAAUGAAUUUGAUUACUUUGGAACAACACUAGGGCUAUUUUGGAACGGACCACAUAAUUUUGAAUCGCCGUCAGAUGAUGAGGACGAUAUCUAAGCUGGCAUCCCCUCUCCAAACUUCCACACCAGCGGGAGUACGUUUGGCCCUGACAGAUUUAAUGCACCAGACCCUCUUACACGAAGGUUCUUCGGUGGAAUCGGAUCUCGAAACUGAAACCCUCCGGUUCCGAAGGCGAGACUUUACCACGAAGUCACUAUGAUGAAUGACUUGGUACAUUCCACGAAGAAAUGGCCAACAGUUGUGCAUCGAGAAUGUGUUUCCAAAAGCAAACUGCUUGGAGUGACCAUAUCUUUGAUAAUUGUAACAGCA